rnacentral:rRNA from 1 species
AGCUUGCUGGGGGGAUCAGUGGCGAACGGGUGAGUAACACGUGAGCAACCUGCCCUUGACUCUGGGAUAAGCCUUGGAAACGAGGUCUAAUACCGGAUAUGAGGCGCUCGGGCAUCCGAAGCGUCUGGAAAGAUUUAUCGGUCAGGGAUGGGCUCGCGGCCUAUCAGCUUGUUGGUGGGGUAGUGGCCUACCAAGGCGACGACGGGUAGCCGGCCUGAGAGGGCGACCGGCCACACUGGGACUGAGACACGGCCCAGACUCCUACGGGAGGCAGCAGUGGGGAAUAUUGCACAAUGGGCGCAAGCCUGAUGCAGCGACGCCGCGUGAGGGAUGAAGGCCUUCGGGUUGUAAACCUCUUUCAGCAGGGAAGAAGCGCAAGUGACGGUACCUGCAGAAGAAGCGCCGGCUAACUACGUGCCAGCAGCCGCGGUAAUACGUAGGGCGCAAGCGUUGUCCGGAAUUAUUGGGCGUAAAGAGCUCGUAGGCGGUUUGUCGCGUCUGCUGUGAAAACUCGAGGCUCAACCUCGGGCUUGCAGUGGGUACGGGCAGACUAGAGUGCGGUAGGGGUGACUGGAAUUCCUGGUGUAGCGGUGGAAUGCGCAGAUAUCAGGAGGAACACCGAUGGCGAAGGCAGGUCACUGGGCCGCAACUGACGCUGAGGAGCGAAAGCAUGGGGAGCGAACAGGAUUAGAUACCCUGGUAGUCCAUGCCGUAAACGUUGGGCACUAGGUGUGGGGCUCAUUCCACGAGUUCCGUGCCGCAGCAAACGCAUUAAGUGCCCCGCCUGGGGAGUACGGCCGCAAGGCUAAAACUCAAAGAAAUUGACGGGGGCCCGCACAAGCGGCGGAGCAUGCGGAUUAAUUCGAUGCAACGCGAAGAACCUUACCAAGGCUUGACAUACACCGGAAACUUCCAGAGAUGGUUGCCCCGCAAGGUCGGUGUACAGGUGGUGCAUGGUUGUCGUCAGCUCGUGUCGUGAGAUGUUGGGUUAAGUCCCGCAACGAGCGCAACCCUCGUCCUAUGUUGCCAGCGGGUCAUGCCGGGGACUCAUAGGAGACUGCCGGGGUCAACUCGGAGGAAGGUGGGGAUGACGUCAAAUCAUCAUGCCCCUUAUGUCUUGGGCUUCACGCAUGCUACAAUGGCCGGUACAAAGGGCUGCGAUACCGCGAGGUGGAGCGAAUCCCAAAAAGCCGGUCUCAGUUCGGAUUGGGGUCUGCAACUCGACCCCAUGAAGUCGGAGUCGCUAGUAAUCGCAGAUCAGCAACGCUGCGGUGAAUACGUUCCCGGGCCUUGUACACACCGCCCGUCAAGUCACGAAAGUCGGUAACACCCGAAGCCGGUG